rnacentral:rRNA from 1 species
UUGGAGAAGUUUGAUCCUGGCUCAGGACGAACGCUGGCCGCGUGCCUAAUACAUGCAAGUCGAGCGAGCUUGCCUAGAUGAAUUUGGUGCUUGCACCAAAUGAAACUAGAUACAAGCGAGCGGCGGACGGGUGAGUAACACGUGGGUAACCUACCCAAGAGACUGGGAUAACACCUGGAAACAGAUGCUAAUACCGGAUAACAACACUAGACGCAUGUCUAGAGUUUAAAAGAUGGUUCUGCUAUCACUCUUGGAUGGACCUGCGGUGCAUUAGCUAGUUGGUAAGGUAACGGCUUACCAAGGCAAUGAUGCAUAGCCGAGUUGAGAGACUGAUCGGCCACAUUGGGACUGAGACACGGCCCAAACUCCUACGGGAGGCAGCAGUAGGGAAUCUUCCACAAUGGACGCAAGUCUGAUGGAGCAACGCCGCGUGAGUGAAGAAGGGUUUCGGCUCGUAAAGCUCUGUUGGUAGUGAAGAAAGAUAGAGGUAGUAACUGGCCUUUAUUUGACGGUAAUUACUUAGAAAGUCACGGCUAACUACGUGCCAGCAGCCGCGGUAAUAA